rnacentral:rRNA from 1 species
UACAGAGGUCUCAAGCGUUGUUCGGAUUCAUUGGGCGUAAAGGGUGCGUAGGUGGCGCUGUAAGUCGGGUGUGAAAUUUCGGAGCUUAACUCCGAAACUGCAUUCGAUACUGCGGUGCUUGAGGACUGGAGAGGAGGACUGGAAUUCAUGGUGUAGCAGUGAAAUGCGUAGAGAUCAUGAGGAAGACCAGUGGCGAAGGCGACUCUCGUGGUCUGUAACUGACGCUGAGGCGACGGAAAGCGUGGGGAGCAAACAGGG